rnacentral:rRNA from 1 species
UACGGGGGGGGUAAGCGUUGUUCGGAAUUACUGGGCGUAAAGGGCUCGUAGGCGGCCAACUAAGUCGGACGUGAAAUCCCUCAGCUUAACUGGGGAACUGCGUCCGAUACUGGAUGGCUUGGAUUUGGGAGAGGGAUGCGGAAUUCCAGGUGUAGCGGUGAAAUGCGUAGAUAUCUGGAGGAACACCUGUGGCGAAGGCGGCCUUCUGGACGGUGACUGACGCUGAGACGCGAAAGCGUGGGGAGCAAACAGG